UACGAAGGGGGCUAGCGUUGCUCGGAAUUACUGGGCGUAAAGGGCGCGUAGGCGGCGGCAUCAGUCAGGCGUGAAAGCCCCGGGCUCAACCUGGGAACUGCGCUUGAGACGGUGUUGCUUGAGGACGGGAGAGGGUGGUGGAAUUCCCAGUGUAGAGGUGAAAUUCGUAGAUAUUGGGAAGAACACCGGUGGCGAAGGCGGCCACCUGGCCCGUUACUGACGCUGAGGCGCGAAAGCGUGGGGAGCAAACAGG
rnacentral:rRNA from 1 species